rnacentral:rRNA from 1 species
UACGGAGGGUGCAAGCGUUGCUCGGAAUUAUUGGGGCGUAAAGGGUAGGUAGGUGGUCUCAUUUGUCUGGGGUGAAAGCCUUGAGCUUAACUCAAGAAGUGCCCCAGAAACGGUGAGACUAGAGUCUUGGAGAGGGUCGUGGAAUUCCCGGUGUAGCGGUGAAAUGCGUAGAGAUCGGGAGGAACACCAGAGGCGAAGGCGGCGACCUGGACAAGUACUGACACUCAACUACGAAAGCGUGGGGAGCAAACAGG